CACGUAGUUAGCCGGUGCUUCUUCUGCAGGUACCGUCACUUGCGCUUCUUCCCUGCUGAAAGAGGUUUACAACCCGAAGGCCUUCAUCCCUCACGCGGCGUCGCUGCGUCAGGCUUUCGCCCAUUGCGCAAUAUUCCCCACUGCUGCCUCCCGUAGGAGUCUGGGCCGUGUCUCAGUCCCAGUGUGGCCGGUCACCCUCUCAGGCCGGCUACCCGUCGUCGCCUUGGUAGGCCAUCACCCCACCAACAAGCUGAUAGGCCGCGAGCCCAUCCCUGACCGAAAAACUUUCCACACCACCCCAUGCGAGGAGGUGUCAUAUCCGGUAUUAAUCCCGGUUUCCCGAGGCUAUCCCAGAGUCAGGGGCAGGUUGCUCACGUGUUACUCACCCGUUCGCCGCUGAUCCCCCCGAAGGGUUCACCGCUCGACUUGCAUGUGUUAAGCACGCCGCCAGCGUUCGUCCUGAGCCAGGAUCAAACUCU
rnacentral:rRNA from 1 species